rnacentral:rRNA from 1 species
GAGGAACGCUGGCGGCGUGCCUAAUACAUGCAAGUCGAGCGCGGGAAGCUUGCGGAAUCUUUCGGGAGGAAGUGAGCGGACCGAGCGGCGGACGGGUGAGUAACACGUGGGCAACCUGCCCGUAAGACGGGGAUAACCCCGGGAAACCGGGGCUAAUACCGGAUAGGUGACCUUUCUGCAUGGAGGGGUCAUGAAAGGCGGCGGAAGCCGUCGCUUACGGAGGGGCCCGCGGCGCAUUAGCUAGUUGGUGAGGGAAAGGGUUCACCAAGGCGACGAUGCGUAGCCGGCCUGAGAGGGUGAACGGCCACACUGGGACUGAGACACGGCCCAGACUCCUACGGGAGGCAGCAGUAGGGAAUCUUCCGCAAUGGACGGAAGUCUGACGGAGCAACGCCGCGUGAGUGAGGAAGGCCUUCGGGUCGUAAAGCUCUGUUGUUCGUGAAGAAGGGGUUGGCCAGGAAAUGGGCCGACAUUGACGGUAGCGAACCAGAAAGCCCCGGCUAACUACGUGCCAGCAGCCGCGGUAACACGUAGGGGGCAAGCGUUGUCCGGAAUGAUUGGGCGUAAAGGGCGCGCAGGCGGCCUCUUAAGUCUGAUGUGAAAGCCCACGGCUCAACCGUGGAGGGACAUUGGAAACUGGGGGGCUUGAGUGCAGGAGAGGGGAGUGGAAUUCCACGUGUAGCGGUGAAAUGCGUAGAGAUGUGGAGGAACACCAGUGGCGAAGGCGGCUCUCUGGCCUGUGACUGACGCUGAGGCGCGAAAGCGUGGGGAGCGAACAGGAUCCGAUACCCUGGUAGUCCACG